UACGUAGGGUGCAAGCGUUGUCCGGAAUUAUUGGGCGUAAAGAGCUCGUAGGCGGUUUGUUGCGUCGGCUGUGAAAUCCCGAGGCUCAACCUCGGGUCUGCAGUCGAUACGAGCAAACUAGAGUGUUGCAGGGGAGACUGGAAUUCCUGGUGUAGCGGUGAAAUGCGCAGAUAUCAGGAGGAACACCGGUGGCGAAGGCGGGUCUCUGGGGCAACAACUGACGCUGAUGCACGAAAGCGUGGGGAGCAAACAGG
rnacentral:rRNA from 1 species